rnacentral:rRNA from 1 species
GACGAACGCUGGCGGCGUGCUUAACACAUGCAAGUCGAACGCUGAAGCUCAGCUUUUGUUGGGUGGAUGAGUGGCGAACGGGUGAGUAACACGUGAGUAACCUGCCUCCUUCUUUGGGAUAACGCCCGGAAACGGGUGCUAAUACUGGAUAUUCACUGGUCUUCGCAUGGGGGUUGGUGGAAAGGGCUUUUCUGGUGGGGGAUGGGCUCGCGGCCUAUCUGCUUGUUGGUGGGGUGAUGGCCUACCAAGGCUUUGACGGGUAGCCGGCCUGAGAGGGUGACCGGUCACAUUGGGACUGAGAUACGGCCCAGACUCCUACGCGGGGCAGCAGUGGGGAAUAUUGCACAAUGGGCGCAAGCCUGAUGCAGCGACGCCGCGUGAGGGAUGGAGGCCUUCGGGUUGUGAACCUCUUUCGCUCAUGGUCAAGCCGCAACAAUGGUUGUGGUGAGGGUAGUGGGUAAAGAAGCGCCGGCUAACUACGUG